rnacentral:lncRNA from 1 species
GGGCUCCCACGGGAGCCGAGCCAUGCCCCGACUCCGCCUACGGAAGCCGAACUCCCGUAGCCUCCCCAAGAACGGUGGAAAAAUUCCAAGCAAAAAAGAAAAACGGAAGGCGAUGGGUCACGUCAACGACAAAUGAAAAACAAGCAGCAUCCAAGAUACAGAAAACCCUAUCUCGGCAAGGACUGGGACUCUCAUCAAGAACCCCAAGGUAGCUUUCAACACAAACCCA